GAUUAAGUUAUUAAGGGCGCACGGUGGAUGCCUUGGCACUAGAAGCCGAUGAAGGACGUUACUAACGACGAUAUGCUUUGGGGAGCUGUAAGUAAGCUUUGAUCCAGAGAUUUCCG
rnacentral:rRNA from 1 species